rnacentral:lncRNA from 1 species
CAAAAACUCCCCAUGUAAUGUGAAUCUAUUUAAUGCGUAUUACAACUACUUUCUUCUGACACUGCUGUGACUCUGAACAUGUCCCCGGCGAAUUUUGUGCUACGUUGUAAGUUUGUUGUUUAUUUAUUUAUUUAUUUUUUUUUGUGGGGUAAAUUACGUGUGGCAUAUAUAUAUAUAUAUAUAUAUAUAUACAGACUAUGUUUUAUGUGAUGGUGGGAAAAGAUAAACUUAGUUGGUGAUGGAUGCAGCAAGUCAACCCUAAAAGUUGAUGGAAAUAACAACAUUUUGCCUGUGAAUGAGAAUGUGUGGACCAGGAAAUAAAUCUAAUAAAAGUUUGUUUAUUUUUUUGAAGGUUAUGAAAAGCAAGGGAUGCAGAUUUUGGUAUCAGCUUUGUCCAACUUUGCCACAAUCAAAACAUUGAGUUCAAAAGAGCAACAUGUGAUGUUUUUGUUUUUGUUUUGUUUUUGUUUUGUUUUUUUGUUUUUUUGUUUUUUUUUUCAAUUUAUUUAAUAGAAUGUAAUUUAGUAUGAAUGAGCUUUGGUUAUCUGUGGAAAAUUGAUAUAAAAAGGUGCAACUUGUGUUGCUAUGUAGAAAACAAUUAAAGUGCAUCAUGGUAUGUUAUGCUUUAGUUCUUUAAUCCAACUAUGUUAUUCCAAAA